UAAACUGAAGCUAAAUGUUUGAGCGCUUGGCUGUUAACUAAGAGUUAGUGGGAUAAAUACCCUCCAGUUUAG
rnacentral:tRNA from 1 species